rnacentral:tRNA from 1 species
UGGAUCACCUCCUAACAGGGAGACAACAAAAUGUUUAUGUUUAUUAUUUUGUCACCUUAGGUCGAUCGGUAUCUCACGUUUUUAAUUUAUUAAAAACUUUAUUUCCUAAGUUUUUCUAGGUCACACCCAUUAUUUUUCCUGGGCCAUUAGCUCAGGUGGUUAGAGCGCACCCCUGAUAAGGGUGAGGUCCCUGGUUCAAGUCCAGGAUGGCCCAUACCUCUAUGUUGGGGGUAUAGCUCAGUUGGUAGAGCGCCUGCUUUGCAAGCAGGAUGUCAGCGGUUCGAGUCCGCUUACCUCCACUGAUUACCACCUCUUCCAUAAUCUGUAUUAAGGAAAUGUUUUGAGUUGUGAUCAAAUUCUGAACGAAUCUAGCUUCCUAAUGAAAUCAUUAAGAUGCUGGACUCAUUGAUUAAUUUCACUGUUUUCAGAGAACCUUGACAACUGCAUAGAUUUUUUUAAAGACAAUAAGCAUCUUUAGUGAUGCAGAUUUAUUAUUUGUGCGAAUGCAUUAAUAACAAUUCUAUUAAGCUGAUGCUUCAAUUAUGAAGUUAUUGGUCAAGCUACAAAGGGCUCAUGGAGGAUACCUAGGCACACAGAGGCGAUGAAGG